GAAGUCUUAUUACAAAACACUUUUGAAAGGCUGGCAAAUAUAUGAUAUUUGCAGUUCUUCCUUGGAAUGAAGGUAAAAGGCUUUGGGUUCUGAAUAGUCCUGAAAUGAAAAGAAAUAAUGUCAUUCUACCUUAACAAAAUACAUUAAAAAAACCUCAAGACACAUGAGUUUGAUACAUUAACCUGAUUCCGUUCAGUGGAAAAAAAAAAAAAGAGCAUGCCACAAAUUUCAUCUCUUUCCUAUGUUUCAUGAUCUUUUCUCAGGGUCUUUAUAUUUCUGUGUUUUGUCAAUUACUUAUCAAGCAUUUUUCACAGAUUAAAACCUAAAAUUUCAUACUACUUCUUUCAUGUGUUUGAAAUUCAAAUGUUUCUUAUCUCUUUCAGUGAAACCAAAUCAUAUUUCCUACACUCAACUUUCUCUGCACUUAAAUAUGGAACCAAAUUCUUUUAAUCAUUAAAAAAAUCACUGGGAUUUAUAGUUUCCCGUGAUUUUUGCAUUUACUUUUUUUUCAGUAGCCAACUUGUUAUGACGGGCUGAGAAUAUUUUGUUUCAUACAAA
rnacentral:lncRNA from 1 species